rnacentral:ncRNA from 1 species
UCUUAUCAAGAGAGGCGGAGGGAAUGGCCCUAUGAUGCCCGGCAACCAGUUCAUUUGAACAAUGGUGCUAAAUCCACAGUUUACACAUGGUGUAAGACUGAAAGAUGAGA